CAGAGAGGGCUCUGAGUGCCGCCUCUGGCACCCGUGCCAUAGGUUCGCCACCAUUGUGCCAGACAUUGCCGUGUUCCCAUAAGAUGCUCAACCUGAAACUAACCACCCUACUUCAGCCUUCACUAACCUAUUGUGCAAAUUUGGCCUAGUGCUAGUUUGGGGAGGGGGAGGAGAUUAGGCUACUUUCUGAAGCUGGUGUGUGUUUGUGUAUGUGUGUGUGUGUGACUUCCCUGUGGCAACCUAUAAAGGAUUUGAAGAAGGCAGUUGAGACUGAACAAACUUUUUUUUUAACCCAUCUCUCCUUGGGAGACGGAUUCUGCUUGCCUGCUUGCCUUUUGGUUCCUCUUUUCAUGUUUCUUGGAACUUUCUUGAAACUUUCUUGUGACUGGAACUGUGCAGUUCAUUCAUGGCUGUAUCUGAGCCUGGAAAAGUAUCUCUUCCUGGUAGAUUGGACCUGAAAUUACACACAUGUGCCUGUGUGUACCCACUCCCCCCCCCACACUAUUUCAUACUACUACGAUGGCAAUCACGUACUCCACUAAGAUCUUUUUUUCCCAAGCGAAUGAUACUUGCACGCUUGAUUUCUGUUUCCCACUUGAAGAAUUUUGCAUUGAUCUCUCCUAAAUUUUAUUCUGUUUGUCCAAUUUUCUAAUCAAUUAAGAUCAUUCUGGGUUUUUUCCCUGUUAGCUAGCUUAAUGUAGCAGAAGGCAGAUUCCAAUUGGAAUUUGAAUUUUUUUUAAAAAAAAAAGACAAGAGAAAUAUUCCUAACAGUAAGAGCAGUCUGAAGGGGGGGGAGGGAUGCUUUUCGGAGCAGGGGAUCUUCAUGAGAUGCCAGACUUUUGUUUGGGUUCCUGCCUGGAACAGAGGACUGGACCUGGGAUCCCUCAACUCUAGGAUUUCGCGAUGACCAGUAGCCCAAUCUCAGCCAUGAGUUGUUCCCUUUAGAAGAAGGCCCUCAUCCACUUAUGUCCCAAUUUAGUAGCCAGGGUUGAGCCUGCAUUUCACUUUUCAGUACAGAUGUAGCAUAAUUAAAUUAUCAAAGCUUCCUUGGUUGUUUGGCUUCAUAAAUUAACAUUUUCCUACUGUAUAUGCUACUCUGUUUGAACUCUGAAACUAAGCGGAAUUUGGCCUGGCCACUGCUUGCUCACUAGGGAAUCCCAGGGUUAUAGAUUAGCCAGCAAAUCUGAGCAAAGAAUCGUUGAAAUAGGGUGGGAACUUUUUCCACCCUGUAGCCUUGAACCUGUCCACGAAGCCACCAGUGCUUGAGCUUAACUUGAAGAAAACCCUCUUCAGUAAGUGGGGCGGCUAUCGUUCUUUGUUGCGUUAUUUCUCCCCAUCCCCGUCACAUCAUUAUUGUGCUUUGGGCACUGUGUGGGAUCCAAACUAGCAUGGCCUGUUCUUUUAUCUUGGUUCUGUGUUAAAAUAUUCGUAGAAGCAGGAGAUAAGAACAGGUUUGCCUGUAGAUGUGUGAUAGACCAGCAGUAGGAGUUCCAUUGUCCUCCACUUGUGCUCUGCCGGUACUUGUUUACUUGACUAGUAAGAGACACUUCUCAGUUCUCAGCUUUUGGUCCUCCAAAGAAGCAUGAACUUGACAAUGCCGCUUCUGAAAGUUUCUCACCAUUUGGCCUAUUGCUCUGCUGCUGAUGGGCCCAUCCUUCACCGAAGAACUACUUUUAAAGAGUCAUCACUUAAGGUGUGUUUUGCAACCUGUGACAUUUUCCAUCCGAGACUUGGGAUCAGGUGUUUCAUGAUGCGGCUGGAGAAGCAGCCCAGGAGUCUCUGUCAGUGGCCAAGUCCUUAUCCAGCAAGUCCACUUGGCUUUGUCUCCCAGAGUUGUGUGUUGCAAGCAUCUCCUUGGCUGAGGCCCAGCACUCCCUAAACCCGUCUUGCUGGAGCCACAAUCUGCUCCACAACUCGUCUUGCUCGGAUUGCAUUUCACCAACUCCCACUGUUGUCAACGAGGCCCUGAGGAGGAUUUCUUCCAGCCCAGGCUCGCCCACAACGAGUUGCUUGGCUGCUCUUGCUGCAAUUUUGUGAGAAGCAGCUCUCCUUGGUGGCGGCAGUGGCUGGCUGACAGCCAGUUCCAAUCCAGUGGGCAGAGAACGAGGUUUGCAUCACUCUCGUCUGGGAAAGUGAGAGGCCUGCCACCGUGCCCCACGCAGCCCCGUGCCUCUAGGGCUCAAGAGGAAGCCACAUCUCUGGACCAGGCCAGAACAGGCAGCUGCCAUCCUCCUUGCCUCCAGCCAGUGUUGCUUUGCUUUCUGAAGAUAGAGCAUUGCGGAGGUGGGGUUGAGGGAGCAACACACUUCCGCUGAAAACAACAGGAAAUUAAAACAAAAACAAAUGGCUGCAGAGUGCAGAUUUCUGAAAUGGUGUCAACUGACUGCAGAGCAGAAGGGAAAAAAAAGGGAAUCACCCGAAAGAAACAGGAUCUGAAGCGCAGAGUUUGGACAACAAGGCAGAUGGUCUUUCCCAGCAUCCCCUUCUCCAAAUAUAUACUUUGCUGUUGCCCAAUUAGAGGUGUGGGUGAUCUCCUCUUUCUUGGCAGCCCUCUUUCAAGGCACAUGUGGAUCUGGUUUCCAGUCCCCUCAUCGCCUUGCUAGCCAUCCUCUGAACUGGCUCCAGUUUGUCAGUGUCCUUAAAGGAGUUCAGUGCCUGGAACUGGCCACAUUAUUCUGGGGGAGGGGGACUCUAACCAAGAUAGAGUGGGGCAAUGCUGUCCGGUGAUCUGAAUUAUGCUUCAAUUAACAUACCAUAAGGGGGCAUUUGUUUUGUCAGCAGCUGCAUCACACCGUUCAAUCAUGUUCAAGUUCAACAUUCAGAUCCUUUUCGCAUCUUCCACUGCCAAGCCGGUUUCCUCCCCCCCCCGCAUCCUGUAAUUUGCUCCCCCUGUUUUCUCCCUCUAUGCAGGAAUAAUUUCUAUUUCUCUCCUACCUUGCCAAGGCUCCAUUGGUUUCCCUAUGCUCAUUUGAUGAAAAUAUUUAGAUAAGAAUUAUUAAUUUAAAAAUAGUAAGAUUGAAUUUGAUAUGGAGUUGUGUACAAACGAUCGUGUUAUUGCUAAGAUGUAUGAACUUUUAUUGAAAAUGGAAACAGGAUGAACACAUUAUGCAGUAUAAAGUGGGCAAUUUUUUUGAUUAUAAUAUACAGUUUGAUCAGUUGGAGAAAAUGUAAAACAUUUACACUGAAUCAUAAUCUCAAAGAGAAUUUUUAUAAAAUGAUGUAUCAUUGAUAUAUGACAUCAGAUAAACUGUGAAGAAUGUAUAUGAAAAUUUCAAAUAUUUGUUGGAAAUGUAAUCACAUUGAGGGUAAGUUUUUUCAUCCUUGGUGGGCAAAUAAGAAAGCUAAAAAUAUUGGGAUCAAAUAUGUAUUCUGAUUCAGAAGACUUUAAAAAUGAAGGUACACUUGAAAUUAGAGAUUUUUUUGAUUUAAUGGACAAACAAAUGGAAACAUCUUAUGCAAAGUUGCUUUUAUAUAUGCUAACAACAGCAAGACUUUUAUAGCAAUAGCACUUAGACUUAUAUACCGCUUCACAAUGCUUUACAGCCCUCUCUAAGCGGUUUACAGAGUCAGUAUCUUUCCCCAACAAUCUGGCUUCUCAGUUUACUGACUUCAGGAGGAUGGAAGGCUGAGUCAACCUUGAGCUGGUGCGGAUCGAACUGCUGAACUGCUGGCAGAGUUAGCCUGCAAUGCUGCAUUCUCACCACUGCACCACCACAUCUCAAAGGUGGAAGGACUUACGAAUACCUACAAUGGAAAAGUCGAUGGUGAAACUGAUGGAGAUGGCAAAACUGAUAGCUUUGAUUAAAGAAAAGAGUUUGACUAAUUGUAUUUUUACUUUGAAGCCAUUUUUGGAUUUGUUGUGAGGAACUGAAAGAAAUGAAAUAUUGAUUAAUGGGAUUUAAUCAUUAGAAUUAGGUUUAUAGAAAUUAUAUAGACAAAUUUUAACCUUAGAAUAAGAGUUUGGGGGGAGGGGCUAAAUUCAUUUUGUACUAGAGAAAGUCGGAAGUCAUUCUCUUGGUUUAUCUUUUCUUUAUCUUUUUGCAUCUCUGUCUUCUUUUUUUCUUGAUCUUUUUUCUUCAAUUUUUUUCUUCGUUGUUUAUCUAUUAAUCUUGUAUUUUUGAAAAUAA